CUUACCUCUCGUGGGUGGGAUAAUACUCGCCUCCGUGUCCUUUAUAAAAUCAUGACUUUACGUCAUGAAAUUAGUAAAAUCUGGUAAUUUUAUUAAAGGACACGGAGGCUCCUAUUAUGCUAGUUCAAAGCUGUGUGAUCACCGACGUGGAAAAAUGGGAAACCGGACGGAAAUAAAAUUCACGGAAUGUAGAUUCUCUCGACCAAUCGGCAGCUCGGAGGAGAUCUUCCAAUUUACAGCCUAAUGAAAACGCUUUUGAUGCCAUCGCACCCCUCACUGAGUGUGCUCCAUAUGUGGAAGUAUCAAUGCCUGCCGACGUCAUGAUCCAUUUGACCCAGCGAGAUAGGGUGACUGUAGAAACCGGACGAUGCGGUUGUCGAAUGGCCAGGAAUAGGUCCGCCCAUUGAGGGUCUCGGACCGCAGCCGUCCUUGCUUCAUACUCCUUAAGGCAGGUUACUGGGCAUAAGUUACUGUUGUGUGGAAAAGCGGGGUAAAAAACCUUCGUGAUGGACGUUUUCGUACGCCUCGAUAUAUCAAAGGCCACCCCUUCCGGUGUAUAUGAGCGUGCCUGAAUGUCCAAUGCUCGUACAUCUGAGACCCGUUUACAGGAGAUGAGGCAGAACAGAGUGGCCAAUUUCGCGGUGAGUUGUUUGAUCGACAAAUCUCCAUUCUGCGGCCAACUUUCAAAAAGUCGGAGAACGAGGUUCACAUCCCAUAACUCGGAAUACCGAGGUCGUGGUGGUCGUGCAAAUCUUAUGCCUCGUAGGAGUCGACACACCAUCGGGUGUUUCCCUGUUUGAAUUCCAUUCCAACCUACAUGGCCUGCUGAGAUAGCUGAUCUGUAGAGAUUAAUUGUACGAUAUGCCAGGCCGUGGUCGAAAAGUGAAGUAAGGAAACCCAGGACGUGACUCACAGUUGCAGAUAUGGGAUCCACGUGUUGUUCCACGCACCAACCAUACCAUGCGUUCCAGGCAUGUAAAUAUGAUUUCCUUGUGCCAGGGGCCCAAGCUCCUGCCAGGAGGUCCAGAGUCGUUUGUGGAACAUUUCGGGUGUCCUCGAGUCCCCUGAAAGGAGCCAUGCCAAAAGCUUGAGAUGUCCCUGUAGUAUGAGAGGGUGCGGAUUGCCAUAGGGAUCCAAGAGGAUGUUGUCGUGUACUGGCAGUAAUCUCGGUAGAUCUAUGGACAGUUCUAGAAGUGUAGGGAACCAGGGUUGGGACGUCCAGAAAGGAGAUACGAGGAUUAGGGAUGUCCGGUGUCGUCUGAGGUGCAGCAAGGUCCGUGCGAUGAGAGAAAAGGGGGGAAAAGCGUAAUGCCUGGUGUGCGGCCACGGUUGUCGGAAAGCGUCUGCCGCCAGAGCUUCCGGAUCUGGCCUCCAGCUGAAAAACUUCGGAAACUGCGUGUUCAGCCGUGCCGCGAACAGGUCGAUGUCCAGCGGCCCCCACAGUGAGUGUAAAUGGCUGAAAACGGCCGGGUUCAGCCGCCAGUCGCUGGCAUCCCGUAGAUGUCUGAAGUUCCAGUCCGCUACUACGUUGCUCAUCCCCGGGAUGUGUUCCGCUUGCACUGAUAUGUUGCGGUCCAGGCAGAACUGCCAGAAAUCCUUCGCCAAUUCCGCAAGCAUUGCUGAUCUCGUGCCCCCGAGGUGAUUGAUAUAUCGAACUGCGGACACGUUGUCCAUGCGUAACAGGAUGGAGCAGUUGGUCGACACGUUCAAGAGACUCCGUAAAGCAAACGAACCUGCUAACAGUUCGAGGCAAUUGAUAUGAAGUCCCUGUUCCUCCCUGGACCAUCUUCCUCCGGUGGAGAAAGGUCCGCAGCGCGCACCCCAACCGAGCAAACUGGCAUCGGAUUCGACUACGAGGACUGGCGCCGUUCCGAAGAUCGCGCGGCCAUUCCAGGCUUCCAUGUGUUGUAGCCACCAUUUGAUUUCCUCUUUGGCGGCACAGUCGAGAGGAACAGAGUCGGAGUAUGAGUGCCCCAAACGAAGGUAUUUUGCCUUCAACCGUUGAAGUGCUCUGUAAUGUAGGGGUCCGGGGAAAAUGGCCUGAAUUGACGCCGAGAGGAGGCCUACAAUCCUGGCCAGCUGUCUCAAAGUAAGGACAGGACGUGUGAGCGUCCUCCUGAGCUCCUUUUUGAUGGCCUUGACCUUGGUCGCUGGGAGUAGGAGUGUUCCGGUCACUGCGUUUAUGGUGAAUCCCAGAAAUUCUAUAGCCUGCGAGGGUUCGAUGACCGACUUCUCCCAGUUGAUCAGAAAACCCAGGUUUUCUAACAGGUUCCUCGUCCAGGAGAGGUGUUCUUGCAACAGAAGCGGGUCCUGGGCCAUGAUGAGGAUAUCGUCCAGGUAUAUUAUGAGCCGUACGCCCCUGCUGCGUAGGAGGGCCACCACUGGUUUCAUGAGCUUUGUGAAGCACCAGGGAGCCGAUGAAAGGCCGAACGGUAGGCAUUGGAAUCGCCAC